rnacentral:rRNA from 1 species
AGGAUGAACGCUGGCGGUAUGCUUUACACAUGCAAGUCGUACGAGAGUUUUUAACUCAAGUGGCGGACGGGUGAGUAACACGUAAGAAUUUGCCUUUAGGAGGGGGAUAACAACUGGAAACGGUUGCUAAUACCCCAUAUGCUUUCGAGUAAAAUGGAUUUUUCCGCCUAAAGAGAAGCUUGCGGCUGAUUAGCUUGUUGGUGAGGUAAUGGCUUACCAAGGCGACGAUCAGUAUCUGGUUUGAGAGGACGAUCAGACACACUGGAACUGAGACACGGUCCAGACUCCUACGGGAGGCAGCAGUGGGGAAUUUCCGCAAUGGCGAAAGCCUGACGGAGCAAUACCGCGUGAGGGAUGACGGCCUAUGGGUUGUAAACCUCUUUUUCAGGGAGGAAUCAAUGACGUGUACCUGAAGAAUAAGCAUCGGCUAACUCCGUGCCAGCAGCCGC